UACGGGGGGAGCAAGCGUUGUUCGGAUUUACUGGGCGUAAAGGGCGCGUAGGCGGCCACCGCAAGUCGACUGUGAAAUCUCCGGGCUUAACCCGGAAAGGUCAGCCGAUACUGCGGGGCUAGAGUGCAGAAGGGGCAACUGGAAUUCUCGGUGUAGCGGUGAAAUGCGUAGAUAUCGAGAGGAACGCCCGUGGCGAAAGCGAGGUCCUGGACGCCUACUGACGCUGAGACGCGAAAGCCAGGGGAGCGAACGGG
rnacentral:rRNA from 1 species